rfam:Triticum aestivum genome assembly, contig: Triticum_aestivum_CS42_TGACv1_scaffold_146214_2BS
AUUGUACUCUCUCCGUCCGAAAUUACUUGUCGGAGAAAUGGAUGUAUCUAGACAUAUUUUAGUUUUAGAUACAUCCAUUUUACCCAUUUCUACGACAAAUAAUUCCGGAUGGAGGCGGUACAAA